UUGCAGUGAUGAUGUAAUGAAUUUCUUCACCUGAGAAUUCAUGAAGAUCCAAAACGAGCUUUUUAAAACUGAGCAAA